AACAACAGAAAUGAUGAAAUAACAUUAAAUAAACAAAAUUCGGAUUCUGCGUUUUUUUUUUUAAUAAAUAAGAUACAUCAAAACUGGAAAGUAAUAAAAAUAAAUCGUCUAAAAUCGGGGAUCAAUAAAUUCAUUUGAACCAAAUCGAAUUAAUUAGUGUGAUUAAGACAAUUCGCAACAAGUGAAAAUGAUUCUCAAACUUCUGACUGUUUUUCUUAUUCUAUUACUAUUUAGUAUCACAGACGCUAAAAAUAACGUACAAUUCGACAUCAAUGGAGACUAUAAGCAUAACGAAUACCACAAGUACACCCCAGAUUGUUGUCUUAUACCGUCAUGCGAUCGUGGAGGAUGUUUCAAUUCUAUAAAAUGUGGACAUAUUUGUUCUACGGCGAAUUAUCCUAAAGCCGUUGUCGAUAGGACACCGGGAUAUGUCAAAAAAUCUUAUUAUACCACUUACGAAUGUCAUUUUGGAGAAUGUAACCAUUUUCAAAUAUCCUGUGAUCAUUGUCCGGAUCCCAACGAAAGUGAUUUUAGUAUUUAUACUAUUAGAACGGACUGUAUUGAAUGUUAUCAAUAAAGUUUUUUUACAGACCGUA